AAUAAUAAUAAUAAUAAUAAUAAUAAUAAUAAUAAUAAUAAUAAUAAUAAUAAUAAUAAGGACAAAACUUAUGCACAGUUCCUUAAGUGCGGUUUUUGUUGUUCCCCAAUUAAAAAACAACACCUGUAUAAGUAUUCUACAUCACCUACUCUUAUUCAUAAGAGCAUUUUCUCUCUCUUGAUUUGUGCAUUCCUUCCCUAUUUUUUCUCUUCCUCUGUUGUUUCUGCAAAAAGUCUCCCUGUUUCUGUACUCAUUGCAUUGCGGCCAUCAAUUUCAUACCUUCUUUUGUUCAUGUACCCAUAAAAAUUGCUUCAGACCAUUGUUUUUUAGUUUAGGAAGGUACUCCAACAUGGAAAAUUUAAAUUUGGCUACAAACAAUAUCGGUGAACCAUUAAGGAGUGACAAUAAUUCUCCCAUCAGUUUGAAUUCUAAUGAUACAGAGAUGAGAGGAUUGACAUGCUGCAGUUCCUGUCAUUGAGGGAGCGUACAAACUCAUGAUGAUGCUAGAGCUUAUCAACUGGAGUUUAUCAAAUACUGUAACUAAUGCCGAGAGAUGUAAGGUAGCAGCAACCUAACUCUUAUCUAAUACAUAAUUUAAAAAAGCUGAUUUGACAAAUUCAGGAACUUGCUUUGCUACGGGGACUUGUCCAACAGAGACAUAUGGGUGUUCCCUUCAAUGUAAAGAUAAGGGCUUUCAUUUUGGUGGUCACUGUAAACCAGAGACACCCUUUUGUUGUUGUACACCAAACAUUUGAGAGAUUUAUGUUUGA